rnacentral:miRNA from 1 species
GUAUUAGGUUGGUGCAAAAGUAAUUGCAGUUUUUACAUUACUUUUAAUGGCAAAACUCACAAUUACUUUUGCAUCAACCUAAUAU